rnacentral:rRNA from 1 species
GAUGAACGCUGGCGGCGUGCCUAAUACAUGCAAGUCGAGCGAACAGACGAGGAGCUUGCUCCUCUGAUGUUAGCGGCGGACGGGUGAGUAACACGUGGAUAACCUACCUAUAAGACUGGGAUAACUUCGGGAAACCGGAGCUAAUACCGGAUAACAUGUUGAACCGCAUGGUUCAACAGUGAAAGACGGUCUUGCUGUCACUUAUAGAUGGAUCCGCGCCGCAUUAGCUAGUUGGUAAGGUAACGGCUUACCAAGGCAACGAUGCGUAGCCGACCUGAGAGGGUGAUCGGCCACACUGGAACUGAGACACGGUCCAGACUCCUACGGGAGGCAGCAGUAGGGAAUCUUGCGCAAUGGGCGAAAGCCUGACGGAGCAACGCCGCGUGAGUGAAGAAGGUCUUCGGAUCGUAAAACUCUGUUAUUAGGGAAGAACAAAUGUGUAAGUAACCAUGCACGUCUUGACGGUACCUAAUCAGAAAGCCACGGCUAACUACGUG